AGGUGCUCUGCGGCAGUGGGAGCCGGUGAUUGGCUUGAAGCCGUGCUGCUGGCCGCUCCGUCGGCCAAUGAGCCGUGAGCCCCGGGCCUCUUCAGCCGACGGGAACAUCUGGAGAGGGACCUGGAGUCAUAUCAGCGACCGACCGGCAGAGGGAGAUGGACAGUACCUGUGGUCGUUCCCCAGACCGGGCGGGGCUGUCCGGUCUCUCAGCGGGCGUUCUGGAGGCCAUUGGCCCGCUGUUGCUAGGAGACAAAGCCUUGCUGUCUCUAUGGCAACGGGCGAGAGGUGGACAAGAGCACGAAGAGGGCGGAGCCGAAGGCCUGUCGUCAUGGAGACAUGAGGUAAUCCAACACGGAACCUGUGGGCACCACCUGGUCGCCCCCCCGGCACCACCUGGUCCCCUCCCGGCACCACCUGGUCAGGGACCACCUGCCCCCCCCCCCCCC